rnacentral:ribozyme from 1 species
GUCGAGCUGGUCGCCAAGCGUGCGCGUCUUCGCGGCGC